rnacentral:rRNA from 1 species
CCUACGGGAGACAGCAGUGAGGAAUAUUGGUCAAUGGGCGUAAGCCUGAACCAGCCAAGUCGCGUGAGGGAUGAAGGUUCUAUGGAUCGUAAACCUCUUUUAUAAGGGAAUAAAGUGUGGGACGUGUCCUAUUUUGUAUGUACCUUAUGCAUAAGGAUCGGCUAACUCCGUGCCAGCAGCCGCGGUAAUACGGAGGAUCCGAUCGUUAUCCGGAUUUAUUGGGUUUAAAGGGUGCGUAGGCGGCCUUUUAAGUCAGCGGUGAAAGUCUGUGGCUCAACCAUCGAAUUGCCGUUGAAACUGGGGGGCUUGAGUAGGUUUGAGGCAGGCGGAAUGCGUGGGGUAGCGGUGAAAUGCUUAGAUAUCACGCAGAACCCCGAUUGCGAAGGCAGCCUGCCAAGCCAUGACUGACGCUGAUGCACGAAAGCGUGGGGAUCAAACAGGAUUAGAUACCCUUGUAGUC